rnacentral:lncRNA from 1 species
GCGAUCGAGACUGGUCGAAAAAAUUUUCGACCUUCAAAAGUAGCUGCAGGACGCUGAGACGAACUACAACGCCUACCUAGUCGGCUGGUGCGGGCAAGUAGAGGACUACCGAAGGAAGCUCAAGACGGUGACUGACGAAGUUGCCCGCCUUCAGAGGCAGUUGUCUGAGAGAGUCCAGUCUGUCUCUGCACAAGGCUCCGACGAGCUCCACUCCUUGAGGGGGACCAUGGAAGAACUGUCUGUGGCCCUUGGGCA